rnacentral:lncRNA from 1 species
AUCGUAUUUAAGGGCCCAGUAAUCAUGCUCACGAGUAAUGUGAGUUUCGACCUGACUCAACUCACAUAAAAGUUAGGUAUAUUGCUGAGUCUCUUACCGUUAGGUUUUUAGUAAAUAAUAAAUAGUCAACAAUACUCUCCCGCACUGCACUAUUAAUGCAAUAUGUGAAAAUCGAACUCAUAACUCUGACACCACUUGUGGAUUGUAAGUGCUGACCAAUUAUCUCAAAAGUAUGUGCUAAUAGAAAGAGCACAACUAUCGUACUUAAUGGCUCAGUCAUAAUGCUUACGAGUUACAACCGGACUAAAUUCUUUUGAAUAUUAGGCUUAUAAUUGGGCCUUUUACCAUUAGUCUAUUAUGUGCCACAGGCCUACUUAAUUUAUUGGACUUACACAACUCAACUUAUUGAUCUUUUGAGCCUAUUAUCACGGGGCAGAAAUUUGGACCUAUUUUAGCCAAUAAUAAAUAGCUAAUAAAUUCGACUGCUAUUAUAAACCUAUAUUCCUAUCAUGAAACAAUGCGUUUGCAUUAAGAAGUCAUUUGGUUAGAUGUAAUUAUAAAUGUAGUGUACUUAGAAAUGCAUGCAGUUGUAAAUACAGCAGUUACAAUUAUAUUAAUCCUAUUUUGUUGGAUGUAGUAGAAAACGCUGCAAGUAUAAAUAAUUUGUUUAGUUGCAUGCAGUUGAGAAAUAAUUUUUAAAAUUUUAUUAUUUUAUAUAUAUGAUGGUGAGAUUACCUCCAAUGUAGAAAAGAAAAAUAUUUUUUGUUUAAAAAAUAUUAAGAAGGUAAGCAUAUCUUUUAUUUAAAGUUACUCUCUUCAGCUACUGUAGUUGGAACUGCAGUCAAUUUGAGCAUAGUUCGAACUGCUGCAGUCGGGCAUCCUCCUGCGGUUCCUACUGCAGCAGUUGGAGUUAAAUAUAUCAAACCAAAUACUGAAUUUGUAUUUACAUACAGUUACAACUGCAGUGUAGUUACAACGACAUACAACCAAACGGCCCCUAAGUAAAUAUGCUAUGUCUGUUGGAUCGAAGUUGUAGAUAAUUUUAAAUAAAGUAUU